rnacentral:lncRNA from 10 species
GGGGCAGCCGAGCAGGGGAAGAACUGGGCCGCCUGUAGAGGGCGGGCCGAAUAGUCACCAACCCUCUACUUGGUCCUUUGCAAUCCUUUCCAGACCUUCUGUGGUCUCCUGUCACACAGGGCUCACCUGGGGGGACCCUGAUGGCCAGAUUCUCUUGAACAGUCUCUAGGGACAUAUUGGGUAUUGCUAUACCUUCAUCCAUUGAACAGUUUUCCAGUGGCUCCAUAAUAUGUGAUAUCACAACAGAUUGAAUGCAGAAACAGAACAAAUGAAGCAUCCAUUAACUUCGAAUGAUCAGAUGCUAGGGUGUGAGGAAUUUUCAGGCCAAAAUGCACUGGGUUAUUGUCUCCUAUUGACAGUGUGAUAUUACAGAUAACCUCUAGGAGAUCCUGAACAUAUUCAGGCUAAACCAGGCAAACAAACAUUCAGGAUGUUACCAGUGUGGAAAACCCCUAGGAGAGACAGCCAAAAUUAAGACUGAUGGAGAAAUUUCCCCCAGCAAUACCACUUAAAAAUAUGUAUUUUUUACUUUGGAUAGAAGUUCUGAUUGGUGAAUGAAUAAGUGACUGGAUAAAGAGAAAGGGAGAAGAGGAAGAAGCAAUGAAGCGAAUCCAGGGGAAGGCAAACAGAGCAAGCUCAU